CCUACGGGGUGCAGCAGUGGGGAAUAUUGGACAAUGGGGGGAACCCUGAUCCAGCCAUGCCGCGUGUGUGAAGAAGGCCCUCGGGUUGUAAAGCACUUUCAGUGAGGAAGAACGCCUGGUGGUUAAUACCCAUCAGGAAAGACAUCACUCACAUAAGAAGCACCGGCUAACUCCGUGCCAGCAGCCGCUGUAAUACGGAGGGUGCGAGCGUUAAUCGGAAUUACUGGGCGUAAAGCGCGCGUAGGUGGCUUGAUAAGCCGGUUGUGAAAGCCCCGGGCUCAACCUGGGAACGGCAUCCGGAACUGUCAAGCUAGAGUGCAGGAGAGGAAGGUAGAAUUCCAGGUGUAGCGGUGAAAUGCGUAGAGAUCGGGAGGAAUACCAGUGGCGAAGGCGGCCUUCUGGACUGACACUGACACUGAGGUGCGAAAGCGUGGGUAGCAAACAGGAUUAGAUACCCUUGUAGUC
rnacentral:rRNA from 1 species